GACGAACGCUGGCGGCGUGCUUAACACAUGCAAGUCGAACGGUGAAGCGCCUUCCUUUUUGGUGGGUGUGGAUGAGUGGCGAACGGGUGAGUAACACGUGAGUAACCUGCCCCCUUCUUCUGGAUAACCGCAUGAAAGUGUGGCUAAUACGGGAUAUUCUGGGUCUGUCGCAUGAUGGGUCUGGGAAAGAUAUUGUUUCGGUGGGGGAUGGGCUCGCGGCCUAUCAGCUUGUUGGUGGGGUGAUGGCCUGCCAAGGCGGUGACGGGUAGCCGGCCUGAGAGGGUGGACGGUCACACUGGGACUGAGACACGGCCCAGACUCCUACGGGAGGCAGCAGUGGGGAAUAUUGCACAAUGGGCGCAAGCCUGAUGCAGCGACGCCGCGUGAGGGAUGGAGGCCUUCGGGUUGUGAACCUCUUUCGCCAGUGAAGCAGGCCUGCCUCGUUUGUGGGUGGGUUGACGGUAGCUGGAGAAGAAGCGCCGGCUAACUACGUG
rnacentral:rRNA from 1 species